AUACGGAGGACGCGAGCGUUAUCCGGAUUCAUUGGGUUUAAAGGGUGCGCAGGCGGCCGUGCAAGUCAGCGGUGAAAGCCCGGGGCCCAACCCCGGAAGUGCCGUUGAUACUGCAUGGCUUGAAUGCGGUCGAGGCGGGCGGAACGUGGCGUGUAGCGGUGAAAUGCGUAGAUAUGCCACAGAACGCCGAUAGCGGAGGCAGCUCGCCAGGCCUGCAUUGACGCUCGGGCACGAAAGCGUGGGGAACGAACAGGAUUAGAUACCCUGGUAGUCCACGCCGUAAACGAUGGGCGCUCGUCGUCGGCGGCAGACAGUCGGCGGCCAAGCGAAAGCGAUAAGCGCCCCACCUGGGGAGUACGGUCGCAAGGCUGAAACUCAAAUGAAUUGACGGGG
rnacentral:rRNA from 1 species